AUGUGGCUCACCCUUAAAUAUCCUCUACAUCUCACCAAUGUGCUGCGACUUCCCUCAAAGGCUCCUGCUGCACCAGUCUCUUUGCUGGCCCACAGAGAACAUCCCCCGGGUCAUGUGAGCAGUCGUGGAAGUGGCUCUCAGCUGCCUGCUGAGCCUUCUCCAACCUCUCAAACUCCAAGCCUGUCUCCUGCAGGGCCGCAAACAGAAAUUCUUCUCCAGGGGCAUGUGGUGUUGGGGAAGUGGAGAUGCCGUGGUGGACUUCCCUGGUGCCAGGAAAUUACACAAGGUAGGUAAAUUCUAUUCUGCCUGGAAGUUAGACUGCUCUUAGUUCCAUUACUAAAGCCAACCCAAGUGAUGGCCUUCUCUGUGUUUCCUUGUUCCCAGCAGUGAAAGUUCAUCUCAGGAGACCCACAGGAAGGUUCCAGAGGUUUGGGGUCAAAAGCCUGGAGGUUUCAAUGGGAAGGACAGGAA
rnacentral:lncRNA from 13 species